UAUAGCUCAGUGGCAGAGCAUUCGGCUGUAGAUCGAGAGGUCUCCGGUUCAAACCCGAGAAAA
rnacentral:tRNA from 1 species